UACCUCAACAUCUCCACGGCCAUCUGAUUCAGCAAAUGUACUAACUUUGCCAUCAUGCUCUUGUAGAUUGGCCAUACUAUUGCUUUCAGGUUCCUUUUUGCUAUCUUGAAGCUCCAACACUCUACCUAAAUCUAUGUGUUGAUGUUCUGAGAGCUUACCCCCACACACAUUAAUUUCAUUCUCUGAGGUAAAAUGGUAUUCAACAUUGGCAGCAGAUUCAGGUGUUGCUUUUGGCUCCCUCAGGAGAUUUUCCUCCCCCAAUCCAGGUACAGAAUCACCCUCAGUUUCAAUUUUAGACACAUUGCAUCUUUCUAUUUUACCCUCUUCAUGAGCAUCAGCAUUGACAUCUCCAAGUAUGCUGUUCCUUCGAUCAACUUGUUCGGCGGGAAUACUAGCAUGUCCAGAAGUUGGUAUUCUGUUUUCUGCACAAUUCUCCACUGCAUUUCUUUUGUUUAUGUCAUUUACAGCUAUUUCGGAACUUUCAAUUUUAUCUUUAUCAUGAUUACCAGUAUCAUCUAAGUUUGUCUGCCUGACUUCAGCAUCUAUUGGCACUACCAGGGUGUUAGUAACAGAUAUGGCGUUUGUAGUGUGCUCUAGAUAACUCGUCAGAGAUGAAGUUUCACAAUGAUCACGAGGUACUUCUUCGGGAGAUUGAACAGAAAUGCUCUUCUCCAGGUCACCUACCACAACAUCUGUUACACCAACUUCUGAUUUAAGGGGC
rnacentral:lncRNA from 1 species